AAUCCCAAGUUCCAUUAUUAUGGAAAGCAGUCAUCUUUUCAAUCACUGCAUCACACAAGCUUGGAUACUCGGGGUCCAAUGCUUUUCUAAUAGUCUUUGAUAUAGGGUCAUUAGACACAAUGGAUAAAAAAGUAUAGCAGGAUGGAGACAAGCCGUGGUAACUCAAAAAAUUCUAAGUAGCAUUUAUAAUCUCAUGUGUUAAGUCUAGAAUUAUAAUUUAUGGGUUAAAACUUAAAAAUUGCCAAAGGCUUAUUCUAAGUUAUUUUCAAUUCCAUGGAAUUGGGUUGGAAUUACAUUUCAAAUUUCAUUACAUGCACCAAACAUCAUACUUGGAAUUGGGCAGCCCAAUUUCAAGUCCAGUUCUAAUCCUAUAAACUAAACACUACUUUAUAUAUUUUGAAUUUGGAUAAAAAGAAAAGAAAGAGAAUUAACCAUGGAUUGAUAUUGGGACUAAAAUUUUGGGUUUAUGGUCAUUACCCUUUAUUUUAACAUAGGGUUCUUUUUUGUAUCCAAAUUGGAAUUAGUAGCCCAAUUCCAAUUCUGUAGUGCGCCAAAUGCUACCUCAUAUAUUUUGAAUUUUUGGUAAAAAGAAAAGGAAAAGAAUUAACUGUAAUUGAUAUUGGGACCAAAAUAUGGGCCUUUUGGGUUAUAGGUGAGAUGUUUUCUAUGACCAAUGCAACCUGCAUUAUUUAAGUGUUUCUUGCACAUAAAAUGUUAAUCAUUUUUGUGUUUUUGGAUAACUUGUGUUUUCUUGUCUAUUUUUAUUAGAUGAUAAUGAAAAGGUUAACUUACUAUCAUGGACUAAUGCAGUGACGGCCGCAUUAGCAGUUAUGGUCACAAGUAAUGGGAAUAAUUCUAUAACAGCAGUAAUAUAAUGGUAAUGGCUUGUUGCUAUGCAAUUUUGUUUUCGAAAAAUUUGCAAAGUUCAUGAAACACAUACAUAUUCAUAGAUAUAAUUCAAACUAAGAUAGACAACUACGUAAUAAGCAUAAAUAUAUCAAAUA
rnacentral:misc_RNA from 1 species